CCUACGGGAGGCAGCAGUGGGGAAUAUUGCACAAUGGGGGAAACCCUGAUGCAGCGACGCCGCGUGAGUGAAGAAGUAAUUCGUUAUGUAAAGCCCUAUCAGCAGGGAAGAAAAUGACGGUACCUGAGUAAGAAGCCCCGGCUAACUCCGUGCCAGCAGCCGCGGUAAUACGUAGGGGGCAAGCGUUAUCCGGAUUUACUGGGUGUAAGGGGAGCGUAGGCGGCUGUGCAAGUCCGGAGGGAAAGGCGGGGGCUCAACCCCCGGACUGCUCUGGAAACUGUGCGGCUGGAGUGCAGGAGAGGUAAGUGGAAUGCCUGGUGUAGCGGUGAAAUGCGUAGAUAUUAGGAGGAACACCAGUGGCGAAGGCGGCUUACUGGACUGUAACUGACGUUGAGGCUCGAAAGCGUGGGGAGCAAACAGGAUUAGAUACCCUUGUAGUC
rnacentral:rRNA from 1 species